CCUACGGGAGGCAGCAGUGGGGAAUAUUGGACAAUGGGGGCAACCCUGAUCCAGCCAUGCCGCGUGUGUGAAGAAGGCCCUCGGGUUGUAAAGCACUUUCAGUGAGGAAGAACGCCUGGUGGUUAAUACCCAUCAGGAAAGACAUCACUCACAGAAGAAGCACCGGCUAACUCCGUGCCAGCAGCCGCGGUAAUACGGAGGGUGCGAGCGUUAAUCGGAAUUACUGGGCGUAAAGCGCGCGUAGGUGGCUUGAUAAGCCGGUUGUGAAAGCCCCGGGCUCAACCUGGGAACGGCAUCCGGAACUGUCAAGCUAGAGUGCAGGAGAGGAAGGUAGAAUUCCCGGUGUAGCGGUGAAAUGCGUAGAGAUCGGGAGGAAUACCAGUGGCGAAGGCGGCCUUCUGGACUGACACUGACACUGAGGUGCGAAAGCGUGGGUAGCAAACAGGAUUAGAUACUCGAGUAGUC
rnacentral:rRNA from 1 species